rnacentral:tRNA from 1 species
GCCGGGAUGGCAGAGUGGAUAAUGCGCAGGCCUUGAGAGCCUGUGGCCUUGUUGGCCACAUGGGUUCGAAUCCCAUUCCCGGCG